CGAAAUCGUUCCGAACACCGGCGGUUACGGUACUGCGGUACCGCGUGACGUGGAACGGAUUCGGCGGUUAUUGCCGGUGUAUUUUUUUUUUCCUACGGAAAGCGAAAGUGUACCGAUUGCACCGCCGAUCGUGGCGCAAGGAAACUUGUGAAUUACUAAGACAUUGACGGGGGGAAACACAAUUCUUCGGGAUAAUAAUUGCGUACCGUGUAAAACGUUAAUAUCUUUAUUGACACGAAAACGUUCGUGGUAUUAUUC